rnacentral:rRNA from 1 species
GAUGAACGCUGGCGGCGUGCUUAACACAUGCAAGUCGAACGGAAAGGCCCAAGCUUGCUUGGGUACUCGAGUGGCGAACGGGUGAGUAACACGUGGGUGAUCUGCCCUGCACUUCGGGAUAAGCCUGGGAAACUGGGUCUAAUACCGGAUAGGACCACAUUUUGGAUGGUGUGGUGGAAAGUUUUUCGGUGUGGGAUGAGCUCGCGGCCUAUCAGCUUGUUGGUGGUGUAAUGGCCUACCAAGGCGUCGACGGGUAGCCGGCCUGAGAGGGUGUACGGCCACAUUGGGACUGAGAUACGGCCCAGACUCCUACGGGAGGCAGCAGUGGGGAAUAUUGCACAAUGGGCGCAAGCCUGAUGCAGCGACGCAGCGUGGGGGAUGACGGCCUGCGGGUUGUAAACUCCUUUCGCUAGGGACGAAGCGCAAGUGACGGUACCUGGAGAAGAAGCACCGGCUAACUACGUG